GGAGCUGGGGAAAACUCCCCUCCACCUCACCCUCCUGUCAAAGGGAGCCAGGAGACGUCAACCCGUGCCUCAGCCUUUGCUGGAACCUGAGCAAAUGCUCGCAGCUGGGGAUUUCUUCCCUUCACUUUCUAGCACCGGCUGCUGUUGACUGUUGCCAGGAAGAAACAGUGUCGGGCAACCCUGCUGCCCGGGCCUCAGAAGAUCAGAGACACGUUUUAGGGAUGUUUCCGUUUCUUUGCAAACUGGAGUACCAUGUGGACAAAAGCAGGCGUGCCACAGGCAGGAGAAACACGUAUGACGAUAGCAACCCUAACCAUUGCCGAUGGAUCGCUUCCUAUGGGCCGGACGCAGCCUUACGGAAUGUGCACUGUGUGUCUCCUUUAACCUUCACCCAGAUGAGGACACUGAGGCUCAGCCAUAGAGUGGAAUUCAGGAUUUGAACCCCGGACCAAGUCUAACCCCCAUCCACUCCUCUCCUCGAUCCUUUGCCCUCAGUGACUCACACAGGUGUUCACACAGCCUCGAACA